GCCGGUGUAGCUCAGUUGGCUAGAGCAGCUGAUUUGUAAUCAGCAGGUCGUGGGUUCGAGUCCCUCCAUCGGCUCUA
rnacentral:tRNA from 1 species